UGGGACAAUUUAGUGAACGUUUGUAUGUAACAACUACUGCUCACUAUGUACUUUUUAAAGACACCUAAACUAUGGGGUCACCAAAGUUCUCAACACCUUAAUAAAGUAAUUCGAAAAACUAAUCAGAAAUAACACGAUGUUUUGAUUUAUAUCAAUUAUAUAAAUCAAAACAUAAAGGUUAUUCCUGAUUAAUUUUUUGAAUUAUUUUAUAAUUAAAGGCGUUAAGAAACCUUUGGUGACCCCACAGUUUAAAUGUCUAUCGUAGGUACGUCGUGAACAGUGGUCGUUACAGACAAACGUUCACGUAAAUUGUCCCAGUCAAUGGAUGAAUUUAAUGUGUCAAUCAAUGGCCACAGCCACACUGUUUUGAAUUUCAUUCUAUUUAAUGCAUUUUACUUAGCUGACAUAUUUAAUUUUACUUUGCAUGUUUUAUGUUCAUUAAAUAGUGAUACGUCACAAGUUACUUGCACGUAUAUCAUAGAGUCAUAUAAAUAAGAAGACGUGAGACCUGUAUGAUUGUCAAUGAGACAACUCUCCACAAAAGACCAAAUGACACAAAAAUUAACAGCUAUAGGACAACAAUGAGCAAAGCCCAUACCACAAAGUCAGCUAUAAAAGAAAUCUGAAUCGGG
rnacentral:lncRNA from 1 species